UACAGAGGGGGCAAGCGUUGUUCGGAAUUACUGGGCGUAAAGGGCGCGUAGGCGGCCCGCUAAGUCGAACGUGAAAUCCCCGAGCUCAACUCGGGAACUGCGUCCGAUACUGGUGGGCUUGAAUCCGGGAGAGGGAUGCGGAAUUCCAGGUGUAGCGGUGAAAUGCGUAGAUAUCGGAAGGAACAUCAGUGGCGAAAGCGGCUUCCUGGGCCAGUACCGACGUUCAGGCACGAAAGCGUGGGGAGCAAACAGG
rnacentral:rRNA from 1 species